GACGAACGCUGGCGGCGUGCUUAACACAUGCAAGUCGAACGGUGAAGCGCCUUCCUUUUUGGUGGGUGUGGAUGAGUGGCGAACGGGUGAGUAACACGUGAGUAACCUGCUCCCUUCUUCUGGAUAACCGCAUGAAAGUGUGGCUAAUACGGGAUAUUCUGGGUCUGUCGCAUGAUGGGUCUGGGAAGGUUAUUGUUUCGGUGGGGGAUGGGCUCGCGGCCUAUCAGCUUGUUGGUGGGGUGAUGGCCUACCAAGGCGGUGGCGGGUAGCCGGCCUGAGAGUGUGGGCGAUCACGCUGGGGAUGAGACACGGCCCAGCCUCCUCGGGGAGGCAGCAGUGGGGAAUAUGGCACAAUGGGCGCAGGCAUGAUGCGGCGACGCCGCGUGAGGGAUGGAGGCCUUCGGGGUGUGAACCUCUUUCGCCAGUGAAGCAAGCCUGCCUCGAUUGUGGGUGGGUUGACGGUAGCUGGAUAAGAAGCGCCGGCUAACUACCUGC
rnacentral:rRNA from 1 species